rnacentral:rRNA from 1 species
UAGUAGCGGCGAGCGAAGCGGGAAGAGCUCAAAUUUAUAAUCUGGCACCUUCGGUGUCCGAGUUGUAAUCUCUAGAAAUGUUUUCCGCGUUGGACCGCACACAAGUCUGUUGGAAUACAGCGGCAUAGUGGUGAGACCCCCGUAUAUGGUGCGGACGCCCAGCGCUUUGUGAUACAUUUUCGAAGAGUCGAGUUGUUUGGGAAUGCAGCUCAAAUUGGGUGGUAAAUUCCAUCUAAAGCUAAAUAUUGGCGAGAGACCGAUAGCGAACAAGUACCGUGAGGGAAAGAUGAAAAGCACUUUGGAAAGAGAGUUAACAGUACGUGAAAUUGUUGGAAGGGAAACGCUUGAAGUCAGACUUGCUUGCCGAGCAAUCGGUUUGCAGGCCAGCAUCAGUUUUCCGGGAUGGAUAAUGGUAGAGAGAAGGUAGCAGUUUCGGCUGUGUUAUAGCUCUCUGCUGGAUACAUCUUGGGGGACUGAGGAACGCAGUGUGCCUUUGGCGGGGGUUUCGACCUCUUCACACUUAGGAUGCUGGUGGAAUGGCUUUAAACGAC